rnacentral:rRNA from 1 species
UACCAGCACCCCGAGUGGUCGGGACGUUUAUUGGGCCUAAAGCAUCCGUAACCGGUUCUACAAGUCUUCCGUUAAAUCCACCUGCUUAACAGAUGGGCUGCGGAAGAUACUAUAGAGCUAGGAGGCGGGAGAGGCAAGCGGUACUCGAUGGGUAGGGGUAAAAUCCGUUGAUCCAUUGAAGACCACCAGUGGCGAAGGCGGCUUGCCAGAACGCGCUCGACGGUGAGGGAUGAAAGCUGGGGGAGCAAACCGG